UACGUAGGGUGCAAGCGUUAAUCGGAAUUACUGGGCGUAAAGCGUGCGCAGGCGGUUUUGUAAGUCUGACGUGAAAUACCCGGGCUCAACCUGGGAAUUGCGAUGGAGACUGCAAGGCUUGAAUCUGGCAGAGGGGGGUAGAAUUCCACGUGUAGCAGUGAAAUGCGUAGAGAUGUGGAGGAACACCGAUGACGAAGGCAGCCCCCUGGGUCAAGAUUGACGCUCAUGCACGAAAGCGUGGGGAGCAAACAGG
rnacentral:rRNA from 1 species